rnacentral:rRNA from 1 species
GACAGAGGGUGCAAACGUUGUUCGGAAUUACUGGGCGUAAAGCGCGUGUAGGCUGUUCGGCAAGUCGGAUGUGAAAGCCCUGGGCUCAACCCAGGAAGUGCAUUCGAAACUCCCGAGCUGGAGUCCUGGAGAGGAAGGCGGAAUUCUCGGUGUAGAGGUGAAAUUCGUAGAUAUCGAGAGGAACACCAGAGGUGAAGACGGGUUGCUGGGCAGACACUGACGCUGAGGCGCGAAAGCCAGGGGAGCAAACGGG